rnacentral:snRNA from 1 species
AAAGCAUCUUGAUGUGGGAGACACCAUGACCAGAAGGUGGCUUUCCCAGGUGGCUCAUCCAUUGCACUCCAUGUGUGCUGACCCCUACAAUUUCCCCAAAUGUGGAAAACUUGACUACAUAAUUUGUGAUAGUGGGGGGGCUGCAACCAUGCUUUUCCCUG